ensembl:lincRNA
AUGUUCACCGUGCGUCCUGACCUGGACGCGGACUCCCGCCCAGGCUGUGACCAGACUAUGAGGAAGCGUCCAGGGCAGUGGGCUGUGCUCUGGAAACAUGUAAAUCAGCAGGGCAUGGCAGGGCUGGAUGAGGCUGCAGGGCUGGCUGAGCUCAGUAACAGCUCAAGGGCUGGGAGUGCCCGGAUCUGGGUCCCACAGGCAGCACACGCUUGCCUCAGAGAGUUACUUCCCCCUGGGGAUCACAGGACACACUCAGUCCACUCUCCUUUAGAAAGAACAUCACUGGGGUUGGAGUCUGACCAGGAUGAACUCAAAAGCCAGGAUCAGCCCAAAUCCAGGAAGAUCAGUGCUCUCCAAAGUAGGAUGAAGACCGAGGCCACAUCCCCUGGAGUCGCUGUGAGCUGCAGAGAGGACAGGCAGGAGGAAAUGGUGGAUGAAGAUGAAACCACCUCUGCCAUCAGUGUCACGAGACCAGGGAGUCCCCAAACCCUCCUGUUGUGGCUGCAAAGACAGAGGAGCUGUGUCUACAACACACAGUGGGAAGCCAGUCUGCUCACGGUGGUUUUUGUGGUUUUUGUGGUUUUUGUGUCCUUGAGGACUCGGGGAUCAGUUGGUACAUAGACCACUGUUAGAUCAGAAAAGUUUGAUAGAGUUUGAUAGAGUUUGAUAGAGAAAAGUACUUGAUAGAGUUUAGUACCUUUUAUUCCCUAAAAUUCCCAUGAAAGCAGUACACGGUCUCUACGGAUGGUGAAAAUCUUAUAAUGUAGAAUAUGGAAGGGAUUUUGAAAUGUAUGUUAAUACAACAUGUAGACCAUUUCUGUUACCAAAUUCGCCAGUAUUCUAUUUGUUAGAUAAUGCUUGAGAGACUGUGUUUGAGUGUGUGUGUGUGUUCUUUCAUCCUUUUUUUCUUCUGCUCCCAUUCCUGAACAAAAUAAUAUUCAAAGUUUCAUUGCAAAGAUUAUUUACAGGUCUAAUUUAUGCUUCAGGUUAAGGGGUUUUAAUGAUUUCAAUUUAAACCUGUGGAAACUUUUAUGAAAUUAUGAACUUUCAUGUCAGAACUGUGCUGAGUUAGACAAUCUGAGGCCUACAAUUGUUAUGUUUACCCAGUUUUAAAACCUGAUUUAAACAGCGAUUCUUUAAUAUUUCCUGUGAUUUGAUGGUUUUGGGGUGAAAUAUGUUAUUUUCAACUUUCUACCCAUUUAUAUUGAUUCAAGUUCAAAGAAUCAAAACUUGAAAAUUUUAAGUUCAAAUGAUCAGAAAAGUCCAGAUCUUAGGCCUUAGGAAGGCUUCACACAUUUACUCAUGUACCAAGCACAUGCAACACUUGUUUACUGUGGUGUUUGUCUGCCAUCUAGUGGCAGUUUGUGACAUAAUACCUUGACGGUUUUGUCCUUGCUUGAUUGCAUACACAGCAAAGCAACUGAGUGAAGACAUAGGAUCUAACACACCCCUGGUAUAGUUCGUAUUCAUCUAUGAUGCACCUGAAAUUGAUCACAUCUCCAGUCCUGGCCCAUCAUGGUGUUAACUGUCUUUGUCUCUGUCACAGUGUAGGCCGAGGAAACCUUGAUGACCUGGACAUUCCACACUGAAUUCCGCCACACAAGCCUUAUUGAACAAUACAUUAAGUAGACCUGACCAGCAAGAAAUUGCUAAGACUCAGGUUGACUUGCAAAAAUAUAUGUCUUCCAUAAGGUGAAAUGAAAAUCUUUCCAACAUUCAUGAGCCUGCCGCAUUACUAUGUUGGGGAUCCACAUGUCUAAGGCAUGCUGGCUUAUCCUUUUAGAGACCAACAAGCUGUAUCUUGUUCCUAGGGCCACUGACAGUGAAAUACAGUAUUUUUGAUGCUUCUGUGGAGUGUUGAGACAACACAUGACCUCAAUGGGUACAUCACUCCAUCCCACCCAUCUGCUGCUGUGAGUGCUGCUCCAUCGUGUGGGUGCAGGGAAGGAAAGGACUCUGCAUCAGGCUCAGGCAGCUCUGUGACUGGCUCCACCAUUUGGACCACAUCACAUGGUGAGGCUGCAUCUGUGUUAGACAAUGAUGCUGUGUGCACAGUCUGAAAAUUGCUGAUAUAUAGUCACAUCAUAGAUUUCU